rnacentral:rRNA from 1 species
AAUAGAUACCCAGGUAGUCCACGCCGUAAACGAUGUCGAUUUGGAGGUUGUGCCCUUGAGGCGUGGCUUCCGAAGCUAACGCGUUAAAUCGACCGCCUGGGGAGUACGGCCGCAAGGUUAAAACUCAAAUGAAUUGACGGGGGCCCGCACAAGCGGUGGAGCAUGUGGUUUAAUUCGAUGCAACGCGAAGAACCUUACCUGGUCUUGACAUCCACAGAACUUAGCAGAGAUGCUUUGGUGCCUUCGGGAACUGUGAGACAGGUGCUGCAUGGCUGUCGUCAGCUCGUGUUGUGAAAUGUUGGGUUAAGUCCCGCAACGAGCGCAACCCUUAUCCUUUGUUGCCAGCGGUUCGGCCGGGAACUCAAAGGAGACUGCCAGUGAUAAACUGGAGGAAGGUGGGGAUGACGUCAAGUCAUCAUGGCCCUUACGACCAGGGCUACACACGUGCUACAAUGGCAUAUACAAAGAGAAGCGACCUCGCGAGAGCAAGCGGACCUCAUAAAGUAUGUCGUAGUCCGGAUUGG